rnacentral:rRNA from 1 species
AUGGAUGCCGAGCUCAGCGGCCGAAAGGACGUCAACACCGGCAUCGUCUACAUCUCAGACGACCAGUACGUCGACGCCGGGGAGAACCACCGGGUGGCAGCCGAGCACGACACCAGCGCCACUGUCGAGCAUUAUCGUACGCUCAGGAGCUUCCCGUCCGGCGUAUGGAACUGCUACUCGCUCCCGACGGAGAUCGGCACCAAGUACAUGCUCCGGCUGGAGUUCUUCUACGGGAACUACGACGGCAAGAACAGGUUGUCGACGCAGUUCGACCUGCACCUGGGAAGCAACUACUGGGACACGUAUGAGACCGGCACUAGGGGCUGGCCGGCCGAGGCGGUCUUCGUCGCCUGGGCGAGCUGGGUGCCGGUGUGUCUUGUGAACAACGGCGGUGGCACCCCAUUCGUGAACUCCGUGGAGCUGAGGGGGCUCGGGGCCUCGCUAUAUCCCAACGCCACCACCAGCCAGUCGAUGGCCCUGUAUUCGCGGCGCAAUUUGGGGACAAACAAAUAUAUGCGGUAUGCUCCGCUUCCAUCUUUCUUUUCUUAUUCAGUGUUGCUAAAUCUCAGUCGACAAAUGCUAUACUGA